rnacentral:snoRNA from 1 species
AGCACUAUAUUUAAACCUGUGAAUGGGAAUUUUCCUCAUUAUAGGUUACGCUGUAGUGCAAAAGAAUUCCUGGCUCUUCCUGUUGCACAGCUGACUUUGUGCCAUUCUGCUGUUGCUGUAUGGAGUUAAGGAACAUAA